CCCCAUUCUUUCCUUUUGGCAGACUCAGAUUGCAUACAGCCAGGCCGUUAAUAGCCCUGGGAUUUACUGUUUUAUUGCAGCAUGAAGGAUGAGAUGAAGUAAAGGCUACAGAUGUUCAUUUAAGCUGUUCCUCAAAAUACUGCCCUGGGAAGUUCAUAAGAAAUAGCCAUUGUUUCCGAAGGAGAAACUCCCAGAGGAAAAGGAUUAAAACGACAGAUAAAGAAGCAUUUAUGCCACCAGUCAGAAUGCACUCCAGAAAACACAAAAGGCACAAAAGGCUGAAAACCAAGCACAACCCCUAAGAAGUGUGACCACUGUGGCACUGCAGAACUGCAGAGGUACAUAUCUAUU
rnacentral:lncRNA from 1 species